CUGCAGUGUCAUGGCACUCCAGCGCUGGGAGAGAGGAACAGAGGAGGAUAUGUGAUGACCUCAUCCACACACCCACACACUGCCAGUGACACAAACCCAGGAAAAGACCGAAAAAAGGAAGGAGGUGGAGGAGGAUGAUGAGGGGGAGAAAGAAGUCUGGAAACGACUCCAUCAGCACUCUGUGUGCAGGGUGUGGCUGCACCACCAGUCCUCUGAGGG